rnacentral:rRNA from 1 species
AGGUAGGAAUACCCGCUGAACUUAAAG